UUUAUUUCUUCUUUUGUUU
rnacentral:sRNA from 1 species